CGGAGCUUAGGAGACCUUGGGUCAGCUCUGCAAAGGGGUUGUUUACUGAAUGCUUCUGGUAUCUGCAGCCCCGCUGGGGUUCGGACAGGGGGUCUGGAAUAGGGCUUCACAACUACAGCAGGGCUAGGACCCUCUUGGGCUGGAAGGAGCUGGAGAGGCCUCUGCAAGCUGUCACAGGCUCUUGGUGCUGGCACUGGCUCAGGCUUUCACACACACACACGCGCACACACACACACACACACACACGGACAGGCACCCCCUUGGUGGCCUUCACAGUUUCACCUUCAGGCUCAAAGCUGGCUCUGCAGGGGACAUGAGAGGCACACCGAAGACCCACCUCCUGGCCUUCUCCCUCCUCUGCCUCCUCUCAAAGGUGCGUACCCAGCUGUGCCCGACACCAUGUACCUGCCCCUGGCCACCUCCCCGAUGCCCGCUGGGAGUACCCCUGGUGCUGGAUGGCUGUGGCUGCUGCCGGGUAUGUGCACGGCGGCUGGGGGAGCCCUGCGACCAACUCCACGUCUGCGACGCCAGCCAGGGCCUGGUCUGCCAGCCCGGGGCAGGACCCGGUGGCCGGGGGGCCCUGUGCCUCUUGGCAGAGGACGACAGCAGCUGUGAGGUGAACGGCCGCCUGUAUCGGGAAGGGGAGACCUUCCAGCCCCACUGCAGCAUCCGCUGCCGCUGCGAGGACGGCGGCUUCACCUGCGUGCCGCUGUGCAGCGAGGAUGUGCGGCUGCCCAGCUGGGACUGCCCCCACCCCAGGAGGGUCGAGGUCCUGGGCAAGUGCUGCCCUGAGUGGGUGUGCGGCCAAGGAGGGGGACUGGGGACCCAGCCCCUUCCAGCCCAAGUUUUCUGGCCUUGUCUCUUCCCUGCCCCCUGGUGUCCCCUGCCCAGAAUGGAGCACGGCCUGGGGACCCUGCUCGACCACCUGUGGGCUGGGCAUGGCCACCCGGGUGUCCAACCAGAACCGCUUCUGCCGACUGGAGACCCAGCGCCGCCUGUGCCUGUCCAGGCCCUGCCCACCCUCCAGGGGUCGCAGUCCACAAAACAGUGCCUUCUAGAGCCGGGCUGGGAAUGGGGACACGGUGUCCACCAUCCCCAGCUGGUGGCCCUGUGCCUGGGCCCUGGGCUGAUGGAAGAUGGUCCGUGCCCAGGCCCUUGGCUGCAGGCAACACUUUAGCUUGGGUCCACCAUGCAGAACACCAAUAUUAACACGCUGCCUGGUCUGUCUGGAUCCCGAGGUAUGGCAGAGGUGCAAGACCUAGUCCCCUUUCCUCUAACUCACUGCCUAGGAGGCUGGCCAAGGUGUCCAGGGUCCUCUAGCCCACUCCCUGCCUACACACACAGCCUAUAUCAAACAUGCACACGGGCGAGCUUUCUCUCCGACUUCCCCUGGGCAAGAGAUGGGACAAGCAGUCCCUUAAUAUUGAGGCUGCAGCAGGUGCUGGGCUGGACUGGCCAUUUUUCUGGGGGUAGGAUGAAGAGAAGGCACACAGAGAUUCUGGAUCUCCUGCUGCCUUUUCUGGAGUUUGUAAAAUUGUUCCUGAAUACAAGCCUAUGCGUG
rnacentral:lncRNA from 1 species